UUCGAUCCUGGCUCAGAUUGAACGCUGGCGGGAUGCUUUACACAUGCAAGUCGAACGGCAGCACGGACUUCGGUCUGGUGGCGAGUGGCGAACGGGUGAGUAAUGUAUCGGAACGUGCCUAGUAGCCGGGGGAUAACUACGCGAAAGCGUAGCUAGCCCAUGCAUAUCGGGGGAAAGCGGGGGACCUUCCGGGCCUCGCGCACUGUGGAAACGGCGUCAUCGGUUAGCUAGUUGGUGGGGUAACGGCUCACCAAGGCGACGAUCCGUAGCUGGUUUGAGAGGACGACCAGCCACACUGGGACUGAGACACGGCAGACUCCUACAGGAGGCAGCAGUGGGGAAUUUUGGACAAUGGAAACCCUGAUCCAGCCGUCGCGUGUGCGAUGAAGGCCUUCGGAUUUGUCAAAAGCACUUUUUGGCAGGAAAAACGGCACGGGAUAAUACCCCGUGCAACUGACGGUACCUGCAGAAUAAGCACCGGCUAACUACGUGCCAGCAGCCGCGGUGUGUACGUGAUUGCAAGCGUUAAUCCAUACUGGGCGUAAAGCUGCGCAGGCGGUUCGGAAAGAAGAUGUGAAAUCCCAGAGCUUAACUUUGGAACUGCAUUUUUAACUACCGAGCUAGAGUGUGUCAGAGGGAGGUGGAAUUCCGCGUGUAGCAGUGAAAUGCGUAGAUAUGCGGAGGAACGCCGAUGGCGAAGGCAACCUCCUGGGAUAACACUGACGCUCAUGCACGAGAAAGCGUGGGAGCAAACAGAGUUAGAUACCCUGGUAGUCCACGCCUAAACGAUGUCAACUAGCUGUUGGGGCCUUCGGGCCUUGGUAGCGCAGCUAACGCGUGAAGUUGACCGCCUGGGGAGUACGGUCGCAAGAUUAAAACUCAAAGGAAUUGACGGGGACCCGCACAAGCGGUGGAUGAUGUGGAUUAAUUCGAUGCAACGCGAAAAACCUUACCUACCCUUGACAUGUCUGGAAUCCCGAAGAUUUGGGAGUGCUCGCAAGAGAACCGGAACACAGGUGCUGCGAAAAGCAUCAGCUCAGCUCGUGUCGUGAAGGCCCAGGUUAGGGUCGCAACGAGCCUUGUCAUUGGUUGCUACGAAAGGGCACUCUAAUGAGACUGCCGGUGACAAACCGGAGGAAGGUGGGGAUGACGUCAAGUCCUCAUGGCGCUAUGGUGGGGCUUCACGUCAGCCACAAUGGUCGGGACAGAGGGUCGCCAACCCGCGAGGAGCCAAUCCCGAAACCCGAUCGUAGUCCGGAUCGCAGUCUGCAGACAACUCGACUGCACGUGAAGUCGGAGAUCGCUAGUAAUCGCGGAUCAGCAUGUCGCGGUGAAUGCAUUCCCGGGUGUACUUACCGCCCAUCACACACCAUGGGAGUGGUUACUGCAGAAGUAGUUAGCCUAACAGCAAGGAGGGCGAUUACCGCGGUAGGAUUCAUGACUGGGGGUGAUCGUAACAAGGUAGC
rnacentral:rRNA from 1 species